UGGUUAUAAUAGCAGAGAGGAUACACCUGUUCCCAUUCCGAACACAGAAGUUAAGCUCUCUAGCGCUGAUGGUACUUGGUGGGAAACNAUGUGCCGAAGU
rnacentral:rRNA from 1 species